rnacentral:lncRNA from 1 species
UUUUCUUUCUUCACUCAAUUCUCUGUCUAUGUUCUUUUCCCUUUCUUUUGCGCUCUCUACCUCUCUUCCCAUCCGACCACCACCAAACCCAUACACCAACCCCAAAACCACUGACCCCUCUAGGUUUCUGGUUGAGCUUCAACGGGAACAUGUAAACCUUUAACUAGUGUUCAUCCAAAUGAUUAACACCAACCCAAACACCAUUCGCCACCGUCCCAAACUCCGUCUAACCCAUAUCUCUAAUUGAACUUCAAUCGGGAUCUUUAAACCUUCAAACCCUCAACCCAGAAACUCUUCAAACCCAAAAACCCUAACCUUAAACCCUUAGAACCCUAACUUGGGUUCAACAUGAACUAUAACUCUAAACCCAAAAAUAUGAACCCUAGGAGCCAUAACCCUAACCUGAGCCCAGAAAUACCCCAAACCUACCCAGAUCAACCUCAAACCCUAGUUGAUCCAUAGAUCAGACCCCUCUGAACCCCAAUCAAAACUUCAAAAAACAAAUCAAACGACAAAAUUUCUUAAAACCCUAAUCCAACUUCUACGCAACAAUCACACACAAUCACAUAUUUAUUGGUUCAAAGAAACCCCUAUUUUCCAUGUCGUGUCCAAAUUCAGUUGUGUCCUUUCCCUUUUUCUGAUUUGUCUAUUUUCUUCUUGAUUAUAUCCUCUCUAAUCUCCUUCUUUCUUUGUUUGCAGAUGCUUCUAAUUAAUGAUGGAGGUCUAUCUCGGAGCGACUUAAGGUUUCUAUGUGAAACCUUAAGGAUUCAAAAAUCGGAGCUUUAGAGAAUGGGUUAGAGAUUGCAGCAGCUUUUGUGGUUCUAAUUUUGUCUUCCCCUUCUUCUGAAUUAGACUUAGGUUUUUAUAGGUUAAAUUAGGUUUAGACUCUUAAAUUAGAUUGAUUGUAUUAGGAAACUUAGGAUUUGAUUUAUUGUAAUUAGAAAUUAGGUUUCCGAUUUGAUUGCAUCUG